CACAAAACUCACAUGGAUAAAAGAUUGAUGUAACAAUAAGGUAUGUGACAUGUAAAGAACUGAAGCAAGCUUAAUUUGGACGACGAGGUCAUCAGAUAUGAAGUCUUACUUCUACAACAAAGCAUUUUGAAAACAGAAAGGCUUCUCUAAAAGCUCCGAAACGAUAUAUGACGUAGCUCUUUGACAUGCAGAUAGAAUCAAGAGAAAAAAGAAACCUAUUUUACAUAAGGCAAAUAAUUAAUGUUGUUCAAAAGGAACUUGCUUCAUUUUUCAUCAAAAAAUGGAACUUUCAUUACGAAUCAUCUCAUGGAAAAUGGGAUUAUACAUACAAAAGUGGCAAAAAAUUUUGCACUUUAGAAUCAGGAAGAACUAUCAAACCAAAUGUCCAUCAAAAAUAUCAGGAUGGAGACACCAGUAAGUGGGACUGUACGAUAUUAUUUGAUGCAAUAAUUUUUUCAAAAUCAAUUAAAAAGCAUCUUGACAACAAAACAAAGGAUGCUGUUGAUGCACUUCGUUGUGAAAGAAACAAUUACGCACAUUGGUAUGAAAGGGAAUGCUCAGAUGAUGAUUUUGAUAAAAUAGUCAAUAUCAUUGAAAAAUCAUUUCAAGAUUUGAAAUUUUCUCUCGAUGAAAUCAUUGAAAUAAAAAAUCAUCGAAAGUGUUUUAAUUCCUUCCAAAUUCUUCCUUCAAAACCUAAUCAUUUUCUCGUUGAACGCACUGAAUUACGAGAUAAAAUUAUAAAGAUCUUGAAAAAUUAAGGAAUGAUAACAAUGAUAAACUGACAUAUUUCUACAUCACUGGUAAUCCUGGCAGUGGUAAAUCACAACUUGCAAGACAGAUUUGUCAAAAAAUAUCGUGUGAUUGGAAAAAUAGAACUUCGUUUGUAAUGACUCUCGAUGGAAAAAAUGAGGAAUCUCUUUUAAAAACUUACUGUGAACUUGGAUACCGUUUAAACUGUGACAAGUAUAUGAUUAAAAAUUUUAAAGAUGAAAAUUGUUCCAUCGCAGACAAAGUGAAGAAUUUGCGAUCGUUAGUAUCCACACGAUUAAAAUUCU